UGGGGAAUAUUGGACAAUGGGGGGAACCCUGAUCCAGCCAUGCCGCGUGUGUGAAGAAGGCCUUAUGGUUGUAAAGCACUUUAAGCGAGGAGGAGGGUACUGGUAUUAAUACUACCAGGUACUGGACGUUACUCGCAGAAUAAGCACCGGCUAACUCUGUGCCAGCAGCCGCGGUAAUACAGAGGGUGCGAGCGUUAAUCGGAUUUACCGGGCGUAAAGCGUGCGUAGGCGGCUAAUUGAGUCGGAUGUGAAAUCCCCGAGCUUAACUUGGGAAUUGCAUUCGAUACUGGUUAGCUAGAGUGUGGGAGAGGAUGGUAGAAUUCCAGGUGUAGCGGUGAAAUGCGUAGAGAUCUGGAGGAAUACCGAUGGCGAAGGCAGCCAUCUGGCCUAACACUGACGCUGAGGUACGAAAGCAUGGGGAGCAAACAGG
rnacentral:rRNA from 1 species